GCUGGAGUAGCUCAGUUGGUAGAGCACAUCCUUGGUAAGGAUGAGGUCAUGGGUUCAAUUCCCAUCUCCAGCU
rnacentral:tRNA from 1 species